AGAGCGAACGCUGGCGGCAGGCUUAACACAUGCAAGUCGAGCGCCCCCGCAAGGGGGAGCGGCAGACGGGUGAGUAACACGUGGGAACGUACCCUUUGGUUCGGAACAACCCAGGGAAACUUGGGCUAAUACCGGAUACGUCCGUAAGGAGAAAGAUUUAUCGCCAAAGGAUCGGCCCGCGCCUGAUUAGCUUGUUGGUGAGGUAGCGGCUCACCAAGGCUACGAUCAGUAGCUGGUCUGAGAGGAUGAUCAGCCACACUGGGACUGAGACACGGCCCAGACUCCUACGGGAGGCAGCAGUGGGGAAUAUCGGACAAUGGGGGAAACCCUGAUCCAGCCAUGCCGCGUGAGUGAUGAAGGCCUUAGGGUUGUAAAGCUCUUUCGGCGGGGAAGAUAAUGACGGUACCCGCAGAAGAAGCCCCGGCUAACUUCGUGCCAGCAGCCG
rnacentral:rRNA from 1 species